rnacentral:lncRNA from 1 species
AAACUUAUUUAUGAAGAAAGAAAAAGUAGUUUAAAAACAUACUAACCCUAAGAUAGUAUUUUUACUUCUCCUCUAAACCUAUUGCAAAUAUUCUGAUUGCAUUAACAAGCUUAGAAUUUUAUACGAAUCAGCAGAAUUCUCAAAUGAAACACGCCUAGAUUAAACCAUCGAAGUAUUUAAGUUGCUUGACCUCCACUUAACCACAUGUCUUCACCAUCACCACCGUACAAAUUGUACCAUUGUACCUCCUGCUUGCUAGCAGGUGGUCAUCAAAUUCCAUUUCAACUGCCACCAACGUUUAUCCUGUAGCUAAUUCUCCAUCUGCAAUCUUCUCAUGCAGGCAAGGACAUAGAGGAGAACACUACUAUAAGAUGUUGAAUCGGUCCAUAUGAGGGGUAAGGCCUGAAUGAAAGUGGUGGCAGUGAGCUUGGAGCAAAAAGAAUGGUAAAAAAUAUGUCCAAUGACAUAUCAAUGAGAUGUAUGGGAUUGACCCGGUGCUGGAGGCAAAGGAGAGGACAGUUGCAAAGUAGAAGCCAGUCCAUGAGAAACCAAUCACUACUGCUGAAAUAUUAAGAAUGGUCCUGGACUUUGAAGCUGAGGAAAAGCCUUGUCAUCCUAUGGGACUCUGCCCAGUGGCUACUCAGCCCCCUACGUGAUAUCGCUAUCAUCUUUGAUCUAAAACAACAUCUUCAUCAAUGCAGAUAUUCAUGAAAUUAUACAAAAGAGGAAUAGCAGUGAAUAAAAGAGUUUAUACAUUUUUUAAAAAAAAUCUC